AUUGAACGCUGGCGGCAUGCUUUACACAUGCAAGUCGAACGGCAGCGCGGGGGCAACCCUGGCGGCGAGUGGCGAACGGGUGAGUAAUGCAUCGGAACGUAUCCUGUAAUGGGGGAUAACUAAUCGAAAGAUUAGCUAAUACCGCAUACGCUCGGGAGAGGAAAGUGGGGGAUCGCAAGACCUCACGUUAUAGGAGCGGCCGAUGUCUGAUUAGCUAGUUGGUGAGGUAAAGGCUCACCAAGGCGACGAUCAGUAGCUGGUCUUAGAGGAUGAUCAGCCACACUGGGACUGAGACACGGCCCAGACUCCUACGGGAGGCAGCAGUGGGGAAUUUUGGACAAUGGGGGCAACCCUGAUCCAGCCAUGCCGCGUGCGGGAAGAAGGCCUUCGGGUUGUAAACCGCUUUAGUCUAGGAAAAAGGAAUGCAGGAUUAAUACCCUUGUGUUUUGAUGGUACUGGAAGAAUAAGCACCGGCUAACUACGUGCCAGCCGCCGCAGUAAGAC
rnacentral:rRNA from 1 species